CACACUCAGGGAAAGAUGACUACACAGAGCUCUACACAAGGGGCAGCAUUUGGGGCCCGUGGUAGAGUUCUAUCUACCUGCCAAAUGAAGUAAACACAUGUUUAGCAACUUGAGAUCUCUGUGAAGUAAAUAUCACCAAAUAAACCCAGCCGCUCCAAGCAAGAAGAAAGCUCAGAGUAUGAUAAUCAAAUGUCAAGGGUGCAACUCGAAAUGUAACGUCAUACAGAGCUCUCAGAUGAGCAGAAGUCCACUGUGUAUCUGCACCGCAUUUUCAUUACCUGUUCACCGUCGGUAGACAUUGGGGCUGUUUUUGUGCUUCCUGGCUGCUAGGAAGAGAGCAGCAAUGAGCACAGACGAAAAGGUCUGGUAUAAAAGUCACCUGACUAAGUUUCUCCUGCUCACCGCACGAUGUCACGAGCCGCCUCAGAAUUCUGCCAGGAAGAAGACAGUCAGCAGGUACAGGCCCUCGACCUUCAGAAUCAUGAUUGAUGGAUAAACAUCUUCUCUUUACAACUCACCUGUCUUGAUAUAUUACAUCAUUGGCAACAGAAAAUGGACUAAGAUAGCAUUUAUUUG
rnacentral:sRNA from 1 species